rnacentral:rRNA from 1 species
GACGAACGCUGGCGGCGUGCCUAACACAUGCAAGUCGAGCGGAGCUGCAGCAAUGCAGCUUAGCGGCGGACGGGUGAGUAACGCGUGGGCAACCUGCCUUAUACAGGGGGAUAACUCAGGGAAACUUGUGCUAAUACCGCAUAACAUCAUAGAGUGGCAUUACUUUAUGAUCAAAGGAGCAAUCCGGUAUAAGAUGGGCCCGCGUCCGAUUAGCUAGUUGGUGAGGUAACGGCCCACCAAGGCGACGAUCGGUAGCCGGACUGAGAGGUCGAACGGCCACAUUGGGACUGAGACACGGCCCAGACUCCUACGGGAGGCAGCAGUGGGGAAUAUUGCACAAUGGGGGAAACCCUGAUGCAGCAACGCCGCGUGAAGGAUGAAGGUUUUCGGAUUGUAAACUUCUUUAGUCGGGGACGAAUAAUGACGGUACCCGAAGAAUAAGCCACGGCUAACUACGUGCCAGCCGCCGCGGUAAUAC